CCGGGUCAUACACGUACGGUAGGACAUUUACCAGCUGGACCAUAUGAGUAUCAAUACCAAAUAGGUAUUUUAUACAUGUAUCAGAAUUUCUUAAAAAUAUCUUCAAAAAUGUAAAAUUUAGAUUCCACAAAAACGAUGAUAGAUUUCAAUAGUUGAAAUUGAAAUAGCUGAAGAAAUUGAAGAAAUUAGAUUUUAAAGGAUCAAAUUUUUGUAUAUGUGCGUUUAAAAAAAACAACUAUUACGGUAUUGUUGUAUAACCGUUGUCCGUCCGUCCGUCGUCCACACUUCGGACAAUAUAACUCAAAAACGAUUUUUUAACUUUAAAACAUCCGUGCAACCUUGCAUUAUAUUUUGCCUGAUAGGAGCCGGCAAGGUGACGU
rnacentral:lncRNA from 1 species